rfam:Perkinsus marinus ATCC 50983 gcontig_1104296682642, whole genome shotgun sequence.
GCCUCGGUAGCUCAGCCGGCAGAGCGCGUGCAUUUUAAGCCCGUGGCCGCGGGUUCGAGCCCGGCCCGAGGUG